UAGGGAAGAGUGCAGUGGCGAGUGU
rnacentral:piRNA from 1 species